UGUCUGACACCUUUAUCUAUGCAUGUUUCUGGUUUUCUUUUCUUUAGGGCUAGUUUGGAAACUAAAAUCCCCUUCGGGAUUGAAGGGGAUUGGAGAGGAAAUUAGUUUUUCCACCUCAAUCCCCUCCAAUCCCGAAGGGGAUUCGAGGUUCCCAAAGUAGCCCUUAGUUGUUUUUUCCCAUUAUACUACAUAUAAAUGUUUCUUCACCUUUGUUUAGUUACAUGAAUUAGUCCUAAUCCCAACACCAUUCUUUUCUGGAAUUUUUCAUGGCAAUUUGCUAUCAGCAAGCAGAAAGAAAUACAUUCUUUUGGCAAAUUUCCUUGUUCAGGUUUUGCAGUAGGUAUAGGUUGCCUGUUUAUCUCAUCUUUCUCCAGUGUAAUUGAAACAAUGCGUGCUGCUCCUCAAAAUAAUGUCUAUCGUGUUGGUUUAUUCUUAUUCCUGAAUUCAGCAUCUUGGGGAAAAAGAUGUGCGGUUUAUGGGGUUUUGUAGUCUACAGAUGUCCAUUAAUUAUAGGUAUGCAGGUGGAUCACAGCACAUGGUUCACUAGGUUGCCCUGCAUAGGCGGUGGUAGGCAGCAAUGUCAAUCCAGUGCCAUCUGCCAGUAAGGCCCAAGAGAACAGUCAUCAACCCAAGAGUGUCGAGGCCCAAAUUGCUCAUAUCAGUCUAGAUAGUCCAGAAUGAAUAUGAGUUGCUUGUGUAAGCAUUUUGGGCAUGACCUGCUGUAGUCAUUUAAGACAAGGGAUAAUCAGAGAGAGGCCUCAAUGAAGUUGUAUAAAAGUUAAGCUUUUUCUAUGGAACAGUAGGGGCAUGACAGUUUCUUCAUUCAAUAUAAUUCCUCCUCUCUUAUAUUCAGAUAUAAUCUUUCCUAUUUUUUUUAAUCCUGAUCCUAAAAUUCAAUCCAGCUACCUGUACCCCUAACACAGAGCUGCACCUGGAAGCAGCGAGAGGGUGUUUUUUUGGCUGGGUGGAGUAAAGGGUUGUCACUUGAUACCAAGAGGAGGAAAGUAUUAACCACUUGCUGUCGACAUGUCUUUGAACACUGACGAGGUCUUUGAUGAUGACUGGUGGGAUAAAAUCUCAAGGCAAGGGUGCCUGAUCAUUUAAGAAAGGGUUUCAACUCCAUCAUCAUUUUAGGGACUUG